AGCGGCGGACGGGUGAGUAACACGUGGGUAACCUGCCCAAGAGACUGGGAUAACACCUGGAAACAGAUGCUAAUACCGGAUAACAACACUAGACGCAUGUCUAGAGUUUGAAAGAUGGUUCUGCUAUCACUCUUGGAUGGACCUGCGGUGCAUUAGCUAGUUGGUAAGGUAACGGCUUACCAAGGCAAUGAUGCAUAGCCGAGUUGAGAGACUGAUCGGCCACAUUGGGACUGAGACACGGCCCAAACUCCUACGGGAGGCAGCAGUAGGGAAUCUUCCACAAUGGACGAAAGUCUGAUGGAGCAACGCCCCGUGAGUGAAGAAGGGUUUCGGCUCGUAAAGCUCUGUUGGUAGUGAAGAAAGAUAGAGGUAGUAACUGGCCUUUAUUUGACGGUAAUUACUUAGAAAGUCACGGCUAACUACGUGCCAGCAGCCGCGGUAAUACGUAGGUGGCAAGCGUUGUCCGGAUUUAUUGGGCGUAAAGCGAGUGCAGGCGGUUCAAUAAGUCUGAUGUGAAAGCCUUCGGCUCAACCGGAGAAUUGCAUCAGAAACUGUUGAACUUGAGUGCAGAAGAGGAGAGUGGAACUCCAUGUGUAGCGGUGGAAUGCGUAGAUAUAUGGAAGAACACCAGUGGCGAAGGCGGCCCUCUGGUCUGCAACUGACGCUGAGGCUCGAAAGCAUGGGUAGCGAACAGGAUUAGAUACCCUGGUAGUCCAUGCCGUAAACGAUGAGUGCUAAGUGU
rnacentral:rRNA from 1 species